CCUACGGGAGGCAGCAGUGGGGAAUCUUGCGCAAUGGGCGAAAGCCUGACGCAGCAACGCCGCGUGCGGGAAGAAGGCUUUCGGGCUGUAAACCGCUUUCAGCAGGAACGAAAAUGACGGUACCUGCAGAAGAAGGAGCGGCCAACUAUGUGCCAGCAGCCGCGGUGAUACAUAGGCUUCAAGCGUUGUCCGGAUUUAUUGGGCGUAAAGAGUUCGUAGGCGGUCGAGUAAGUCGGGUGUGAAAAUUCUGGGCUCAACCCAGAGACGCCACCCGAUACUGCUUGACUUGAGUUCGAUAGGGGAGUGGGGAAUUCCUAGUGUAGCGGUGAAAUGCGCAGAUAUUAGGAGGAACACCGGUGGCGAAGGCGCCACUCUGGAUCGAUACUGACGCUGAGGAACGAAAGCAUGGGUAGCAAACAGGAUUAGAUACCCUGGUAGUCCAUGCCGUAAACGGUGGGCACUAGGUGUGGGUUUCUAUUAACGAAAUCCGCGCCGUCGCUAACGCAUUAAGUGCCCCGCCUGGGGAGUACGGUCGCAAGACUAAAACUCAAAUGAAUUGACGG
rnacentral:rRNA from 1 species